AAAUCCAUCACAGUCCACCACGUCGAUAAUACGUCACUGAACGUGAACAGGAAGUCUUGUGAAACCAAAGCGAAAACAUGGCAGAACACAGAGCUCCACCUGGUGACGUAGUUGCAGAGGACAUGCCUGAGCUUUCUGACGGAGAUGAGGAUGAUGAAGAUGAUGUGGAUAAAGAGCAGUGGAUGGAGGAGGAGAGUCAGCCUGCUUCCUGUCUGUUCUGUGACAAGGUGCUAGGUUCUGUACCUGCCAUCCUGCAGCACUGCACAUCAGAUCAUGAGGUCAGCCUCGUUAGCAUCAUAAGAAAGCACGAUUUAGAUGACUAUGGUUACAUAAAAAUGAUCAACUUCAUUCGGUCAACAAAAUGCAGCCCAUCCUGCCUGAUGGGGCUGCCAGAUGGUCCUUUACCUUGGGAGAGUGAAGAUUUCCUGCGACCGGCGCUGCAGGACGACCCACUGCUGCAAGCAGACCCUGAGGAGCUCUGUGGUAGUGAGGAACCGGUCUCAUCAGGAGGUUCAUCAUCCAGGACCCAUGAUGCUCUGCUGCGGAGGACACAGGCUGCUGAGGAGGGCCUGGCCAGAAGCCUGGAGGACGUACACAAACUCAAACUCCUGGUUCAGGGUUUGUUUCUGGACGCAGAAACCAGUAAAUCUGGUGAACUGGGCGCGGUAGCCAAGCUCCGUGAGGACGAGGACGAGGCCUACUUCAGCUCCUACGGCCAUUACAGCAUCCACGAGGAGAUGCUGAAGGAUAAAGUGCGGACGGAGAGUUAUCGAGACUUCAUGUACAGGAAUGCUGAAGUGUUCAGGGACAAGGUGGUUCUGGAUGUGGGCUGUGGGACUGGAAUACUAUCCAUGUUUGCUGCCAGAUCUGGGGCCAAAAAGGUUAUUGCAGUGGACCAAUCAGAAAUCAUCUAUCAGGCUAUGGACAUAGUCAGAUCCAAUAAUCUGGAAGACAAGAUCACUUUGAUCAAAGGCCGGAUUGAGGACAUCAAGCUUCCUGUGGAGAAGGUUGACAUCAUCAUCUCUGAAUGGAUGGGUUACUUCUUGCUUUAUGAGUCCAUGUUGGACUCUGUCCUGUAUGCCAGAGACCUUUACUUGGCUGAUGGUGGUUCAGUGUAUCCAGACCUUUGCAAUAUUAGCCUGGUAGCUGUGGGAGAUAUCCAGAAGCAUCAAGACCGCAUUGCGUUCUGGGAUGAUGUUUAUGGCUUCAACAUGGCAUGCAUGAAGAAGGCUGUGGUACACGAUGCUGUAGCGGAAGUAGUGAAUGCAGACACGCUAAUCUCUGAGCCUACAGUCAUACAGACAAUAGACUGUAACACAGUGUGCCUGUCAGAGCUGGAGUUUACAACUGAUUUUUGCUUGAAGAUACUAAACACUGCAGACUGUACGGCAAUUGUCGGCUACUUUGACAUUUUCUUUGACAAAGGCUGCAGCAACAAGGUGAUGUUUUCCACAGGUCCUCAGGCCACAAAGACUCACUGGAGACAGACAGUCUUUCUCCUAGAGAAACCACUCUCUGUUCAAGCAGAGAUCAGCUGGAGGUUACAGUAACAAAUGACCUGCACGGGCAAGGAGGCGGCUGAUGUCCGACAGCCUGCGGCCCUGCUUGGCCUCCACCUGCUGCAUCUGCUAUGAUAAGAAUGUCAAAACCUCUGACUGCGUAAAUGCUACGGAGACGAGCUCCAAGGAAAGAUCGUCGUGCGUAAAAACAAAAAGGAUCCUCGCUCACUGUUUGUGACCUUAGGCCUUCCAGACAGGAAGCAAACCUACAGCCUACAAUAAAGUCCACUGUAACGUAACCCAUUGAAGUGUUUUUUUAACCUUGUAGCAGCAGAACACAAUAAAACUCCAAACUUUGA